rnacentral:rRNA from 1 species
AUGAUUGCUACCGCAGAUGGUGGAUAUGAGUCCGCUAGUGACUAUGAUGAGGAGACUUUGGCUCUUAUUACACGUGAAGAACAUGGUGGAGAUGAUUCUGAUAAUGAGACGCAAUACAUGGCUCCUGAAGACGCUGACAGGUAUGAAUGUUUAGUUGCUCAACGUGUUUUGAGUGUGCAGAUCACACAAGCUGAGCAAAAUCAGAGGCACAAUUUGUUCCAUACCAAGGGAGUUGUGAAGGAACGUUCUGUGCGCGUCAUCAUAGACGGAGGGAGCAGCAACAACUUGGUUAGCAUGGAGAUGGUCGAGAAGCUUUCUCUCACCACAAGACCACAUCCACAUCCUUACUACAUCCAAUGGUUCAACAACAGCGGCAAGGUUAAGGUAACACGUACUGUUCGUGUGCAUUUUAGUAUAUCUACAUAUGCUGAUUAUGUUGAUUGUGAUGUGGUACCUAUGCAAGCAUGUUCCUUAUUACUUGGUAGACCAUGGCAAUUUGAUAAAAAUUCUGUACACCAUGGUAGAAACAAUCACUAUACUCUUGUUCAUAAGGAUAAAAAUAUUACUUUGCUUCCUAUGACUCCUGAUUCCAUUUUGAAAGAUGAUAUUAAUAGAGCUAAUAAAGCAAAACAGGAGACGAAUAAGAGUGAAAAUCAGAUUGUGGCAAAAGAAUUUGAGCAACAAAUGAAGCCUAAUAAUAAACCAUCUAGUGUUGCUUCUGAAAUUAAAUUGAAAAGUGCAUGUUUAUUUGCCACCAAAUCUGAUAUUGAUGAGCUAGAUUUUAGCAAAUCUGUUUGCUAUGCUUUUGUGUGCAAAGAGGCAUUAUUUUCAUUCGAGGACGUGCCUUCCUCUUUGCCUCCUGCUGUCACUAACAUUUUGCAGGAGUUCGCUGACGUCUUUCCACAAGACGUGCCACCGGGAUUACCGCCUAUUCGAGGGAUUGAGCAUCAGAUUGACUUAAUUCCCGGUGCUUCACUGCCAAACCGUGCACCAUACCGUACCAAUCCAGAGGAGACGAAGGAGAUUAUGCGUCAAGUACAAGAGCUUCUCGACAAAGGUUAUAUACGCGAAUCCCUUAGUCCUUGUGCUGUUCCUAUUAUUCUAGUGCCGAAAAAGGAUGGUACAUCACGUAUGUGUGUUGAUUGUAGAGGCAUUAAUAAUAUUACUAUUCGUUAUCGUCAUCCUAUUCCUAGGCUAGAUGAUAUGCUUGAUGAAUUGAGUGGCUCUACAGUAUUCUCCAAAGUUGAUUUACGUAGUGGAUACCAUCAAAUUCGUAUGAAAUUGGGAGAUGAAUGGAAAACAGCAUUCAAAACUAAGUUUGGAUUAUAUGAGUGGUUAGUCAUGCCUUUUGGGUUAACUAAUGCACCUAGUACUUUCAUGAGAUUAAUGAACGAAGUUUUACGUGCUUUCAUUGGACGAUUUGUGGUAGUUUACUUUGAUGACAUAUUGAUUUAUAGCAGAUCUUUGGAAGAACAUUUGGAACAUUUACGUGCUGUUUUUAUUGCUCUACGUGAUGCACGUUUGUUUGGUAACCUUGGGAAGUGCACCUUUUGCACCGACCGAGUAUCUUUUCUUGGCUAUGUUGUUACUCCACAGGGAAUUGAAGUUGAUAAAGCCAAGAUUGAAGCUAUUGAGAGUUGGCCGCAACCCAAAACGGUCACACAAGUGAGGAGUUUUCUUGGCCUCGCUGGAUUCUAUAGGCAUUUUGUGAGAGAUUUCAGCACCAUUGCUGCACCUCUCAUUGAGCUUACAAAGAAAGAUGUGCCUUUUCUUUGGGGUACCGCACAGGAAGAAGCCUUCACGGUAUUGAAAGAUAAGUUGACACAUGCUCCUUUACUCCAACUUCCUGAUUUUAAUAAGACUUUUGAGCUUGAAUGUGAUGCUAGUGGAAUUGGAUUAGGAGGUGUGUUAUUACAAGAUGGCAAACCUGUUGCAUACUUUUCUGAAAAAUUGAGUGGGCCUAGUCUGAAUUAUUCUACUUAUGAUAAAGAAUUAUAUGCUCUUGUUCGGACUUUAGAAACAUGGCAACAUUAUUUAUGGCCCAAAGAAUUUGUUAUACAUUCUGAUCAUGAAUCUUUGAAACAUAUUAAAAGUCAAGCUAAACUGAAUCGUAGACAUGCUAAAUGGGUUGAAUUCAUUGAGACUUUCCCUUAUGUCAUUAAACACAAGAAGGGAAAAAAAUAUUAUUGCUGA